AAAAAUAAUUUUUUUUAUUUCUAGAUAUUAACUUAUUAACUCCCUAAGGAAAACCACCUCAAAAGAGUCCCUUUUUUUUUUCUAGAAUUAGUAUUCUAAAGAAAAUUUCUAACGGAAAUAUAAAAAUGCAAAACCUCUUUUUUUGGAUUUUUAAGUUACAACACACUUUUUCAAAUAUAAAGCAGAAAGUACAAUAACAAAAGACUCGACAUUACUGUACAAAACUAGAAAGUCAAAGACGACAUAAAAUGAAGAACAUACUCAAAACAUAAAAAAAUAAAAUAAAUCUCCUUAAGCAACUGCCGAAUGAGCCAUCCUGACUGGAUAGUCCUAGGGCGUCUGUCAUGCUCAAACUUCGGUAAGUAGACCCAUACCUAUAUGAAAAAAUUGAAACCAAAUAAAGUUAAAGACCUAAAACACUAUGUGAGAUAAUAACCCUUCCUGUUGGACACAUGCAAGACAUGAUUGUGACUAUUUUUCUAAAAUUAAUCUAUGUGGCUAAAAGUGGCUAAAAAUGCAAGAUUUGGCUAAGACCCCGUGAAGCCAAGAACUUAAGAUUAACUAGAAAGACCGGACCCUAUGUGGGUUGCCUACGUAUCACGCACCGAAAGACAAGAAUCAAGUAUGCGUAGUUCGGGCAGAUUCGAUACGGGAGAGAAUUAAAAAAAUAACUAAUUUAGAGAAAAUAUAUUUUUUAUCUCUUUUUUUGAAAAAUGAUGAAACAUGUAAACUCUUUUUGGAUUUUCUUUUUCCUCUUUUUCUAAUUUUUGAUUUUCGGAAAAUGAUGAAAAGUGCAAUUUUUUUUUGAAUUUUUCAUGUUUUUUGUCUUUUUCUUAACAAAAAUGUGACAGAAAACAUAACUGGGCCCUUAUUGCUUUAUUUUUCACACUUCACUCUCUCUUUUUUUUCUUUUUCAUUUGCCCUCAACUACCAUUGGUCCGCCAAAUGACCCUUUUACCCUUGAAGAAAUGCAACAUGUAGCACGUAUGAUGCAUCAAGAUGGUCUAUUAUUUUGGGUACACCUGUCCUAGACGGACUCAACUCCUGUGUUGAGUCCCCAAAGUCAAAUNNNNNNNNNNNNNNNNNNNNNNNNNAGCAUACCGGGAAUACAGAAGCUUCAUCAGCUUUGCAACUUGUCCGAACCUCGUUCUAAAAUUGGGAUAUGACUAUAACAGAAAAGAAGUCACACGAAGUGCACACUUCCUAAAAGAUUUAGAAGACUCAGAGAGAGGAGGGUUUCGCAACAGUUUAUACACAGUUCAACAAUAUCAAAGCGGUAAAAAGCAAUAUUUAGCACAUUAAGCCCAAACAUGUAGUAAAAAUUAGAUAAUAAAUAAAAGCCAAACAUAACAAUUAUUAUAAGCUUGAAUUCUGAAUCCUGAACCAGAGAUUCUGGGUUCAUUCCCCAACAGAGUCUCCAGAGCUAUCACACCUGCUUUUUCCUACCCCCGUAAGGGUGUAAGGGAGUUUUUCCAAUUUAAGUGACAAUCGAAACGAGAUUUAUUUAUUUAUUCAGAGUCGCCACUUGGGAUAAUUUAUGGUGUCCCAAGUCACCAUUUAGAAUCCCAAAUCGAGGAAAGUUUGACUCUAUUUUAUAGUCCGAAAAAAUAGAAAUCUGGGUAAGGAAUUCUGUUAACCCGAGAGAAGGUGUUAGGCAUUCCCGGGUUCCGUGGUUUUAGCACGGUCACUUAACUGUUAUUAUUGGCUCAAUUAUCUGAUUUUAUACAUUUUAAAACCUUCGUGCAUUUUUAACUUUUUAGCCGCUUUUAUUUAUUUACAGAAUUAAUCCAAGGUUAUUUAAAACACAUCGCAAGCCACGCUACAUGAAAUGCACCCGUGAGUCAAGACACGUUCUAUUCAACCUCGUUGGAAAUUAGAACCGGGCCACAUGAAAUGUACCCCCAGAUUAUAGAUAAAAGCUGUGAUAAUUAUAUAACUAACGCGCCUAAAGCAAGCUACGAAGUUCAUUUGUAAUACUUAAGUUGUAUAAUUAAUAUGAGGGCCAUAGGAGAUUUAAUAUAUGGCACGUCUCAAUUCACUUUUAAGAGAUUAUGCUUAGCCAAAGUCACCUAAAGAUACUUGGAUUUUUCCUAAAUUGAGUUCUAUCUAACAUUACUAAAAUCAGCCUACCCAAAACACCACAAAUCCUUCGACAAAACUAUAACGUAACAAAACUAUAAUAGAAUACCACAAAUUGUUGUCUCUUUACUUGAAAAUUGCGUACCAAGUGUUAUAACUAUAACUAAUUUACAUGCGGAUAUUACCUUCCAAUAUUUAGCUUAAUCAAUUAACAUUGGAUUCAAUUUAAACUAUAUUCUGAGAUUGUAAAUAGUAUGUCGCAAUUUUCCAUUUUUAACAGAUAAAAGAAAAGUACUCUAAAAUAAAUUCAGCAAAGUAAUUAUUCUGCUGAACAUUGCAAACAGAAUCCCAGAUACUAGUAUACCAAUUUCGAGAACACAAAUUCAUUCAAACCAAAAGCACUAAAUUAGAACACCCAAAAUUCUUGAAUUAAUUAAAGAAAAGAGAUAAAAGGAACCUCAAACAAAGUGUCACCUGUCACGAGAAUCUCCAAUUUUACAAUUUCUGUUUGGACGCAAAAUUGCUACGGCAAGGAACGACGACCGGAACCUCAACGAAACAAACUCGACUCUUCAACGAUGACUGAAACCAGAUCGGACUGAACUCAACAACGAGUUCAACAAUCAAUAGCAACAAAUUUUCGACUUCAACAACUUUUGGGAACAAAUCUCAAUUGAAGUUUUCGAAUGGCAGAAUUUCGAUCUCAGUUGCUUCUGUCCGUUCCUAUAUCUAUCUUUGUGUAUUUAUGUUUUGUUCCCCACUCUUUCACUUUUGUUCCCUCUUUUCUCGACUGAAAGUCGGCUGCUUUAGGGCUUUUGUGAUCUGGAAUUUUAUCAACUCUAUGUUGCGCCGAAAAAUGUAUAGAUUGAUAUGGGCGGCUGAUUUUGCUCCUAAGUUAGGGGUCCUUCAUUUUUGUUCUUUUCUUCGAUCUUUUUCAGAGAAGCGACAAAUGUUCUCCUUUUGUGUGCUUUAGGCGUUAUUCUAUAUAUGAUUGUAGAGUCUAGGUCUAGGUUUUUGUAGGGUUUUUU
rnacentral:lncRNA from 1 species